rnacentral:snoRNA from 1 species
CUCGAUCGUUGAUGAGGACGUCAUAGAUGCUCGGCGUCUCCGCAUGAUGCGUGACGCCGAGAGCCGUCGAAGCAUUCCCCUGAGGAUCGAG